AAAUUGAAGAGUUUGAUCAUGGCUCAGAUUGAACGCUGGCGGCAGGCCUAACACAUGCAAGUCGAGCGGUAGCACAGAGAGCUUGCUCUCGGGUGACGAGCGGCGGACGGGUGAGUAAUGUCUGGGAAACUGCCUGAUGGAGGGGGAUAACUACUGGAAACGGUAGCUAAUACCGCAUAACGUCGCAAGACCAAAGUGGGGGACCUUCGGGCCUCAUGCCAUCAGAUGUGCCCAGAUGGGAUUAGCUAGUAGGUGGGGUAAUGGCUCACCUAGGCGACGAUCCCUAGCUGGUCUGAGAGGAUGACCAGCCACACUGGAACUGAGACACGGUCCAGACUCCUACGGGAGGCAGCAGUGGGGAAUAUUGCACAAUGGGCGCAAGCCUGAUGCAGCCAUGCCGCGUGUAUGAAGAAGGCCUUCGGGUUGUAAAGUACUUUCAGCGAGGAGGAAGGCGUUAAGGUUAAUAACCUUGGUGAUUGACGUUACUCGCAGAAGAAGCACCGGCUAACUCCGUGCCAGCAGCCGCGGUAAUACGGAGGGUGCAAGCGUUAAUCGGAAUUACUGGGCGUAAAGCGCACGCAGGCGGUCUGUCAAGUCGGAUGUGAAAUCCCCGGGCUCAACCUGGGAACUGCAUUCGAAACUGGCAGGCUAGAGUCUUGUAGAGGGGGGUAGAAUUCCAGGUGUAGCGGUGAAAUGCGUAGAGAUCUGGAGGAAUACCGGUGGCGAAGGCGGCCCCCUGGACAAAGACUGACGCUCAGGUGCGAAAGCGUGGGGAGCAAACAGGAUUAGAUACCCUGGUAGUCCACGCCGUAAACGAUGUCGACUUGGAGGUUGUGCCCUUGAGGCGUGGCUUCCGGAGCUAACGCGUUAAGUCGACCGCCUGGGGAGUACGGCCGCAAGGUUAAAACUCAAAUGAAUUGACGGGGGCCCGCACAAGCGGUGGAGCAUGUGGUUUAAUUCGAUGCAACGCGAAGAACCUUACCUACUCUUGACAUCCAGAGAACUUAGCAGAGAUGCUUUGGUGCCUUCGGGAACUCUGAGACAGGUGCUGCAUGGCUGUCGUCAGCUCGUGUUGUGAAAUGUUGGGUUAAGUCCCGCAACGAGCGCAACCCUUAUCCUUUGUUGCCAGCGAUUAGGUCGGGAACUCAAAGGAGACUGCCAGUGAUAAACUGGAGGAAGGUGGGGAUGACGUCAAGUCAUCAUGGCCCUUACGAGUAGGGCUACACACGUGCUACAAUGGCAUAUACAAAGAGAAGCGACCUCGCGAGAGCAAGCGGACCUCAUAAAGUAUGUCGUAGUCCGGAUUGGAGUCUGCAACUCGACUCCAUGAAGUCGGAAUCGCUAGUAAUCGUAGAUCAGAAUGCUACGGUGAAUACGUUCCCGGGCCUUGUACACACCGCCCGUCACACCAUGGGAGUGGGUUGCAAAAGAAGUAGGUAGCUUAACCUUCGGGAGGGCGCUUACCACUUUGUGAUUCAUGACUGGGGUGAAGUCGUAACAAGGUAACCGUAGGGGAACCUGCGGUUGGAUCACCUCCUUA
rnacentral:rRNA from 1 species